ACGGAAGGCAGCAGUAGGGAAUCUUCCACAAUGGGCGAAAGCCUGAUGGAGCCACGCCGCGUGUGUGAUGAAGGGUUUCGGCUCGUCAAACACUGUUGUAAGAGAAGAAUGACAUUGAGAGUAACUGUUCAAUGUGUGACGGUAUCUUACCAGAAAGGAACGGCUACAUACUUGCCAGCCGCCGCGUUACUCCGUAUGUUCCCAUCUUUAUCCGGAUUUAUUGGGCGUAAAGCGAGCGCAGACGGUUAUUUAAGUCUGAAGUGAAAGCCCUCAGCUCAACUGAGGAAUUUCUUUGGAAACUGGAUGACUUGAGUGCAGUAGAGGAAAGUGGAACUCCAUGUGUAGCGGUGAAAUACGUAGAUAUAUGGAAGAACACCAGUGGCGAAGGCGGCUUUCUGGACUGUAACUGACGUUGAGGCUCGAAAGUGUGGGUAGCAAACAGGAUUAGAUACCCUGGUA
rnacentral:rRNA from 1 species